ACCACAACUUUUGUGGAUAUUUCAAGCUAUAUAGUUGAGUUUUUCUGAAAACCUUAAAAAACCAAGCUAAAGCCUGAAUGAACAAAGGGUCAUCAAGCUAUUGAAUCAAAUUUGAGUUAGCAUAACAUCAUCAAAUUCUGUGGAGCUUCUUUCCAAGGCUAUGCAUGCUGAAGAACUACAGUACGUAGGCUUUAACGAACCUAUUUCAUUAGAAUGAUCGAAGAACCCGCUUAUCUAUAGAAAGAGGGAGAGAGAAUGAGAAAUCACUCGAAUGUUAAGGAGAGGAGGAUCUUAAUGGAUCCCUCGUGACUGCCCAGAGGAGAAGAAUAGGUAGGGAAUUUAUGUGUAUUUUUAAUGUUUGAACUUGUGGGUCUAUGUAUGUGUAGAAAAAUAGGAAAAAGUAUGAAAAUUAUAGAAAGCAGUUGAACCGACGGUCGAAUCGGUUAAACCGGGAACCGGUUACCAUACCAGUUCAACUAAAAAAACGGUUUUUAAAAUAUUGCUUGCAGGGUCCAAGGGAAGAUUUUAUAUCAAGAAAAAGUAUGUACAUGUAUUUUUCCCUUCAAAAAUAGAUUGUGACAUCACUGUGAUGUAAGAAUCA